CCUACGGUGUGCAGCAGUGAGGAAUAUUGGUCAAUGGGCGCGAGCCUGAACCAGCCAAGUCGCGUGAAGGAUGACUGCCCUACGGGUUGUAAACUUCUUUUAUCAAGGAAUAAAAUGAGGCACGUGUGCCUUUUUGUGUGUACUUUAUGAAUAAGCAUCGGCUAACUCCGUGCCAUCAGCCGCGGUAAUACGGAGGAUGCGAGCGUUAUCCGGAUUUAUUGGGGUUAAAGGGAGCGGAAAUGGGUUGUUAAGUCAGUGGGGAAAGUUUGCGGCUCAACCGUAAAAUAGCAAUUGAUACUGGUAGUCUUGAGUGCAGUUGAGGUAGGCGGAAUGCGUGGUGUAGCGGUGAAAUGCUUAGAUAUCACGAAGAACUCCGAUUGCGAAGGCAGCCUACUAACGUGCCACUGACAUUGAUGCACGAAAGUGUGGGUAUCAAACAGGAUUAGAUACCCUGGUAGUC
rnacentral:rRNA from 1 species